rnacentral:SRP_RNA from 1 species
CCAAACAGUAAGGUUAGGCUUUCACCAAACAAAAGGUUAGGUUUUCACCAAACAGUUUUGGUGAAAACCUAACCUUACUGUUUGGUAAAGCCUAACCUUAUUGUUUGGUGAAAGCCUAACCUUACUGUUUGGUGAAAGCCUAACCUUACUGUUUGGUGAAAGCCUAACCUUACUGUUUGGUAAACAUUUUCACCAAACAGUAAGGUUAGGCUUUCACCAAACAGUAAGGUUAGGCUUUCACCAAACAGUAAUUACUGCUUGGUGAAAGCCUAACCUUACUGUUUGGUGAAAGCUUAACCUUACUGUUUG